UGCAUUUUCUGCACAGCAAAGGUAUAAAUAAUAGUCGAAGAUAAGUAGUUACAUAGGACAUAUCAUUGACCUGCUGAUCCUAGGCAAUUUUCAAAAGAAAACAUAAAACACUAAAAUACUGAUACGCUAAACAGAUAGAUAACGACCAUAGCUGUCGAAAAUAAUUAGCAGUUAGUGAACUUUAUUUCGUAAUGAACAGUUGCUCCUUUAAUAUCUAACCUCCCUCUCCUUGAUUUAUUAUCUUUACACACACACAAUAUAUUUAAAAUAUAAAUAAUAGAACAAAAUACCAAUUAGACAACAUUUGCGGCCAGUUAUAGAAAUCGUUUGUCUCAACUUUGUAUAUCGCAAAAACAUUGAAUAUCGUCUCAUUGCGUGGAUGUACCGCAUAUCUGGCUAUAAGUUCGAUUAUUCUUCUUGCCUGUGGCAGGCGAUAUGCUCGAAACAUAUAAUAACUUUAAUUAUUUUAUCUCCUACGGCUUAACAGGACCUGAAAAGAGUUUAUGCUGAAGAAAUCAAUAUAAGCGGAGGGAGCAGAAUAAGCCGGAGAGCAAACAGUUUCAUACUUAUUCAAAAAUAUACCCUCUAGUCUGAAAAGAUCUGACCGACAAUAUUUUUGAUGAGAGUCACUCGAACAACCUAUCAGUUCUCUCAGGGAGAUUUGUAUAAUUCGUUCGGCCAGAAUUAACACCUAUGACCUUCGGGACGAUUGGCACCUGUUAUCGUCGGUUUUCUGCAGAGCCUGUAUGAACAUUUUAUCCGCAGAGUCCAUGAAGUUCUCCCCCCGCCGGGGAGAGGUUUUCUAUUAGCCCGUAGGCACGUUCAGUGAACACAGGCUCUCAAUUAGAUGGCUGGGUUCCGGUGCGAAACGAGGUUUAUUUAUGUCCAGGUUUGAAGCUAGACAAGAACGUGUCCCUAAGAUACCCAGUAAGACUUCAUGCUUCUCAUAACUGGAAGCACUGUAGAUGGCCAGCGCUUGAAGGUGGCCUCCUUUCCAGAAAUGAAUAUCCUUAUCCUUUUGCAUCUGGAGUUUCAUGGCUGAGCUUCGGUCUUGACCUGCGGACUUGACAGGGCUGGCGCGCCAAAGUAAGAGAACUUAACCUGACCUGACAUGGAUCGGUCUGGGUGAUAGCCACAGCACGCAUCCGUAUGUUGGGCGCACACCACUUCUCUAUAGAGAUAUUUAUUUAGGACCAACAAGACCUAGCAGCUAAUGAAAGAUCCGUUCAGCCUGCGUUAGAACACUCCGUCGCUCGGCCCCAUAAUCGUCUCGUGUGAAAAAAUUGUUUACAGGAAUGCAUGAAGUUGCUGAAACCGGGGGGGGCAGUAAUCAUGGAUUGUGACUUGGUAAGAGCCAAUAACAUUGGUCGCUAGCAAAGAAUCCAUGACGAAAAUGCUGUAUAGAUUAGCACAGGAGGGGGGAGGAAGAACUUACUACUCCACACGCGAGGAAUCUCAAAAGUGUGGGCGGAGAUGUUAAACCCCGGCACCAGCCCUCAGACCUUGUGUCGCAGGACCUUGCAAAACGGCCAUACCAUUUAAGAUAAGCACGCUUGUUAAUCAUAAGGGCAACGCACUUCGCAAGGUUAUCGGUAAAAUGGGCUCAAAGGUCAAAACGCUAUAUAUCCUCACGCGUUGGCUAGGUGUCAUUUUUAAUAUACUAUAUUAACAAGCUUCAUUCAAAAGUUAUCUAACGAAAAAGAAAAAUACCGCGGCAUAUAUUGCAACGUCGUAAGCUCGCUAUGUACAAACAAGAUGACCGUGUACAAAUCAGAAUGAAUCGCAAUUAAUGUAACUUCAAAAUACUCUAAAUAUACCCAACGGGGCACAAAAUUCUAAGCGGUCAAUUACAAAUGGCGCAAAGGUGAUAUUUAUUAGGAACAUAUCCAAUGUUGUUUUGUGAUUGAAGGCAAUAACGGUGCUAUACUUUUACUACAUUUGUGUAAUAGAUUAGGGGAUUCAGCUGUCUCUGAACGGAAACACCUGUUCAAGUUAUGAAAAGCCAAAAAUUCGGCUGCUUCAUAGGAUAUAGCCAAUAAGAACCAAGCUUUUAAGUUGUUCAAAACCAAGCUAGGCUGAAAGCAUCCAAGCAUAUUCAAAAAGUUCCAGUAACGCAAUUAGUCUGCUACAGAAUGCGUGCUUGUCUUGCUAGGGACUACGAAAAACAUACUUCUUUGGGAGCAGCGUACAAAAGUUGUACAUAACUUGUAAGGGGUCAUCUGGGUAAAUUCAACAUGUACUUGAUUUCAAUACCAAAUGAAAUAAACUGAAGUCGUUUACCAUAUAAUGUUGUUUCCUGUAUUUAGAAAAAAAAACUACUAGUAAUACAUUGAAUAAUCGUUGUUUACGAAUUUCGAGGGAACGUAUUACUGUCAAUAGUCAAAGUACGCACAGCGCCUUGCGUUAGAAACAUAACCAUUGCAUAUCUAUAUAGAUUCUCAAUUUCUGGGGGGUCCCUAUGGUGUGUUAUAUCCCCAGUGUAUACAUAUGUUUAAAUAUAUGUGUGUUUAUGCCCACCUAAGGUUACUAGAUCAGAUGUGAGAUCAUACUGGCGCGCUGAUCAUACAGUGACGCGCUGGCUGUAUACCCUUCGAAGUAUCGAAGCCAUACCAAAAGCAAGAAUAUCUUCCAACAAGUAGCUUCCGGGCGGAACUUGUUGGCAGUGGAAUGGAGGUCACUGCACCGAAGUGAACAUGCUUUCUCACCCUAUGCAUCCCACACGACUAAAAUAGCUUUAUGUGCAAGCACGCCAUUUGGGCUCGUAUGCAUCGACCCAUUGAGCCUAAUUUCAGUAGCAGGAAUGCUUGACAGAUGGAAAGCGAGCGAUCGGCUCGCGCAAAACGCUAAAUACCAAACGAGAAUAGCGCGGGUUGGGAGAGCGCGUCACCUUUAAAUCUACUUGUUGAAGAUGCAAAAACUGCUUUACGCGAGUAAAUUGGCUAAUUAGCUAUUUAAAAAGUGUAUGUAAAGGCUUCUUUUUUGAACAGCCAUGUUCAAGGUUUGAAUCGUAUAUAUACCAAAGGACGCACAAUGCAGGCGAUUUGUUUAGCGUACGUUACUCCGUUCACCGUAUGAACGGCAUCGCGGAAAAAUCACUGAUGCUUAGCUUCAACGGUCAAUACUUUUUAAGCGAUUUUUUUUA